rnacentral:rRNA from 1 species
GAUGAACGCUGGCGGCGUGCCUAAUACAUGCAAGUCGAGCGAACAGAUAAGGAGCUUGCUCCUUUGACGUUAGCGGCGGACGGGUGAGUAACACGUGGGUAACCUACCUAUAAGACUGGGAUAACUUCGGGAAACCGGAGCUAAUACCGGAUAAUAUUUCGAACCGCAUGGUUCGAUAGUGAAAGAUGGUUUUGCUAUCACUUAUAGAUGGACCCCCGCCGUAUUAGCUAGUUGGUAAGGUAACGGCUUACCAAGGCGACGAUACGUAGCCGACCUGAGAGGGUGGUAGGCGACACUGGAACUGAGACACGGUCCAGACUCCUACGGGAGGCAGCAGUAGGGAAUCGUCCGCAAUGGGCGAAAGCCUGACGGAGCAACGCCGCGUGAGUGAUGAAGGUCUUCGGAUCGUAAAACUCUGUUAUUAGGGAAGAACAUACGUGUAAGUAACUGUGCACGUCUUGACGGUACCUAAUCAGAAAGCCACGGCUAACUACGUG